rnacentral:rRNA from 1 species
GAUGAACGCUAGCGGCAGGCUUAAUACAUGCAAGUCGUGGGGCAGCAUGAUGUAGCAAUACAUUGAUGGCGACCGGCAAACGGGUGCGGAACACGUACACAACCUUCCUUUUAGUGGGGAAUAGCCCCGAGAAAUUUGGAUUAAUACCCCAUAACAUAUAGAGAUGGCAUCAUCUUAAUAUUAAAGCUUCGGCGCUAGAAGAGGGGUGUGCGGCUGAUUAGGUAGUGGGCGGGGUAACGGCCCACCAAGCCUACGAUCAGUAGCUGAUGUGAGAGCAUGAUCAGCCACACGGGCACUGAGACACGGGCCCGACUCCUACGGGAGGCAGCAGUAAGGAAUAUUGGACAAUGGACGAAAGUCUGAUCCAGCCAUGCCGCGUGAAGGAUUAAGGUCCUCUGGAUUGUAAACUUCUUUUAUUUGGGACGAAAAAAGAUCAUUCUUGAUCACUUGACGGUACCAGAUGAAUAAGCACCGGCUAACUCCGUGCCAGAAGCCGCCGUAACAC